rnacentral:lncRNA from 1 species
CUCCUCCCCGGCUCCGCCCCGCCUCCCCGGGCCCGCCGCUCCUCGCGGCCUCCGCGUCUUCCUUCCGGGUCGCGCUAGGCCGGGCUUGCGGCGGUUGUGCCGCAUCUAGAGAGUCGGGGAGCCGCCCCCGCACCCAGGCCUUCUCGCGCUGCCUGGUCGCUGGUGAAGCCCGCGGCGCGCGCCUCUCCCGGACCCUGCAGGGUAAAAGAAUGUCACAUGUCAGCAUUUGUACCUGAAGUCAGCAUGCAAAGUUCAGGGUACCUGGAUGAAUGCCAACUUUUGCAUUUCCCAUGUGUAUCCUGUGACCAUUCUAUCUGGGAACAUCCUUCAAAGAGUUCAUGCAUCUUACUGAGGACACCUGACCUUUUGAAGCUUCAUAAUUCACAUCUAGAUGUCACCGGUCUUUCCCAUGUUAACAGUUCUGACCAUGUUUUAUUAUAUAUGCCUUCGGCGCCGAGCCAGGACAGCUACAAGAGGAGAAAUGAUGAACACCCAUAGAGCUAUAGAAUCAAACAGCCAGACUUCCCCUCUCAAUGCAGAGGUAGUCCAGUAUGCCAAAGAAGUAGUGGAUUUCAGUUCCCAUUAUGGAAGUGAGAAUAGUAUGUCCUAUACUAUGUGGAAUUUGGCUGGUGUACCAAAUGUAUUCCCAAGUUCUGGUGACUUUACUCAGACAGCUGUGUUUCGAACUUAUGGGACAUGGUGGGAUCAGUGUCCUAGUGCUUCCUUGCCAUUCAAGAGGACGCCACCUAAUUUUCAGAGCCAGGACUAUGUGGAACUUACUUUUGAACAACAGGUGUAUCCUACAGCUGUACAUGUUCUAGAAACCUAUCAUCCCGGAGCAGUCAUUAGAAUUCUCGCUUGUUCUGCAAAUCCUUAUUCCCCAAAUCCACCAGCUGAAGUAAGCUUAUUCAGCUGAUUCUGAAUCAUCUUACACUACCAGACCUGUGUAGAUUAGCACAGACUUGCAAACUACUGAGCCAGCAUUGCUGUGAUCCUCUGCAAUACAUCCACCUCAAUCUGCAACCAUACUGGGCAAAACUAGAUGACACUUCUCUGGAAUUUCUACAGUCUCGCUGCACUCUUGUCCAGUGGCUUAAUUUAUCUUGGACUGGCAAUAGAGGCUUCAUCUCUGUUGCAGGAUUUAGCAGGUUUCUGAAGGUUUGUGGAUCCGAAUUAGUACGCCUUGAAUUGUCUUGCAGCCACUUUCUUAAUGAAACUUGCUUAGAAGUUAUUUCUGAGAUGUGUCCAAAUCUACAGGCCUUAAAUCUCUCCUCCUGUGAUAAGCUACCACCUCAAGCUUUCAACCACAUUGCCAAGUUAUGCAGCCUUAAACGACUUGUUCUCUAUCGAACAAAAGUAGAGCAAACAGCACUGCUCAGCAUUUUGAACUUCUGUUCAGAGCUUCAGCACCUCAGUUUAGGCAGUUGUGUCAUGAUUGAAGACUAUGAUGUGAUAGCUAGCAUGAUAGGAGCCAAGUGUAAAAAACUCCGGACCCUGGAUCUGUGGAGAUGUAAGAAUAUUACUGAGAAUGGAAUAGCAGAACUGGCUUCUGGGUGUCCACUACUGGAGGAGCUUGACCUUGGCUGGUGCCCAACUCUGCAGAGCAGCACCGGGUGCUUCACCAGACUGGCACACCAGCUCCCAAACUUGCAAAAACUCUUUCUUACAGCUAAUAGAUCUGUGUGUGACACAGACAUUGAUGAAUUGGCAUGUAAUUGUACCAGGUUACAGCAGCUGGACAUAUUAGGAACAAGAAUGGUAAGUCCGGCAUCCUUAAGAAAACUCCUGGAAUCUUGUAAAGAUCUUUCUUUACUUGAUGUGUCCUUCUGUUCGCAGAUUGAUAACAGAGCUGUGCUAGAACUGAAUGCAAGCUUUCCAAAAGUGUUCAUAAAAAAGAGCUUUACUCAGUGACUUAAUAUAUGUUCUGUAUUAAAAUUAAUGUGCUUUGUUGGGGUUUAAUUUUGGGAUUGGUUUUGGGUUUUGUUUUUAGUUGUUUUAAUGGUAAGAAUUAAGACAUUUGUAGAUUUUAAAGAAAAAUAUGAAAUUGUCCAUUAAAUCAAGUAAAAAUGUGCACAAAUGUUUUCAUAAAAUACUGCAAGCACUUCUCUUCAAGAAUAUGAGUGGAUAUUAUUUUUACCUUAUGUUAAUCAGUGAUAUGCUUUAGUCAAUAAUAUGAUUGAUAAAAGAAUAACAUGGAAUCAUGCUAACUUAUUUUCAAAGGAACACUGAGCAAUAAAGUAUCGUGGCAUUUAUGCAAAAAAAAAAGUUAAUUUUUUACACCUUCAUGUAAGGAUGUCUUAUUAAGCCUGUGACCUGGCAAGUGUUUUGUUUGGUAUGUACAAAAUGGUCAGAGCUAGUUGGAGAAUGAGACAUGCUUUUCCAGCUGUUUGGUUAUUUCUCUGGAUUAACUGUUCAACUGGAAAAUUUUUAGUUUUUCUAGCCAGGUGUGGUGGCACACACUUGU